AGAGUUUGAUCCUGGCUCAGAACGAACGCUGGCGGCGUGCCUAACACAUGCAAGUCGAGCGCGAAAGUCCCUUCGGGGGCAAGUAGAGCGGCGGACGGGUGAGUAAUACGUGGAUAAACUUCCCUCGAGCUUGGGAUAACCCUGCGAAAGCGGGGCUAAUACCGGAUAAGACCACAUGUCAUAUGCCAUGUGGUAGAAGGUGGCUUAUAUUUAUAUGAGCUAUCACUUGAGGAUGAGUCCAUGGCCUAUCAGCUUGUUGGUGAGGUAAGAGCUCACCAAGGCUAUGACGGGUAGCUGGUCUGAGAGGACGACCAGCCACACUGGGACUGAGAUACGGCCCAGACUCCUACGGGAGGCAGCAGUGGGGAAUAUUGGGCAAUGGGCGAAAGCCUGACCCAGCGACGCCGCGUGGGUGAUGAAGGCCUUCGGGUUGUAAAACCCUUUCGUGCGGAAAGAACAGUCUCGUAGCGAAUACCUACGGGAUUUGACGGUACCGCAGGAAGAAGCACCGGCUAACUCCGUGCCAGCAGCCGCGGUAAUACGGAGGGUGCAAGCGUUGUUCGGAAUUAUUGGGCGUAAAGGGCGCGUAGGCGGUAGUGAAAGUCAGAUGUGAAAUCCUCCGGCUCAACUGGAGAACUGCAUCUGAAACUUCACAACUCGAGUACAGGAGAGGGAAACGGAAUUCCCGGUGUAGAGGUGAAAUUCGUAGAUAUCGGGAGGAACACCAGUGGCGAAGGCGGUUUCCUGGCCUGAUACUGACACUGAGGCGCGAAAGCGUGGGGAGCAAACAGGAUUAGAUACCCUGGUAGUCC
rnacentral:rRNA from 1 species